UAUUAUUAUUAUUAUUAUUAUUAUGAGCUUUCGUGUACAUACACACUUCUUCAGAUAUAUUCAGAUAUCUAUCUGAAGAAGUGUGUAUGCACACAAAAGCUCAUACCAAUAACAAACUUAGUUGG
rnacentral:miRNA from 1 species